rnacentral:rRNA from 1 species
CAUGCAAGUCGAGGGGAAACGACAUCGAAAGCUUGCUUUUGAUGGGCGUCGACCGGCGCACGGGUGAGUAACGCGUAUCCAACCUGCCCACCACUUGGGGAUAACCUUGCGAAAGUAAGACUAAUACCCAAUGACGUCUCUAGAAGACAUCUGAAAGAGAUUAAAGAUUUAUCGGUGAUGGAUGGGGAUGCGUCUGAUUAGCUUGUUGGCGGGGUAACGGCCCACCAAGGCAACGAUCAGUAGGGGUUCUGAGAGGAAGGUCCCCCACAUUGGAACUGAGACACGGUCCAAACUCCUACGGGAGGCAGCAGUGAGGAAUAUUGGUCAAUGGACGAGAGUCUGAACCAGCCAAGUAGCGUGCAGGAUGACGGCCCUAUGGGUUGUAAACUGCUUUUAUAAGGGAAUAAAGUGAGUCUCGUGAGACUUUUUGCAUGUACCUUAUGAAUAAGGACCGGCUAAUUCCGUGCCAGCA